CGUAGGUGGCAAGCGUUGUCCGGAAUUAUUGGGCGUAAAGCGCGCGCAGGCGGUUCCUUAAGUCUGAUGUGAAAGCCCCCGGCUCAACCGGGGAAGGUCAUUGGAAACUGGGGAACUUGAGUGCAGAAGAGAAGAGCGGAAUUCCACGUGUAGCGGUGAAAUGCGUAGAGAUGUGGAGGAACACCAGUGGCGAAGGCGGCUCUUUGGUCUGUAACUGACGCUGAGGCGCGAAAGCGUGGGGAGCAAACAGGAUUAGAUACCCUGGUAGUCCACGCUGUAAACGAUGAGUGCUAAGUGUUAGAGGGUUUCCGCCCUUUAGUGCUGCAGCUAACGCAUUAAGCACUCCGCCUGGGGAGUACGGCCGCAAGGCUG
rnacentral:rRNA from 1 species